UGCUUAAUUGCGAUAACGAACGAGACCUUAACCUGCUAAAUAGCCAGGCCCGCUUUGGCGGGUCGCCGGCUUCUUAGAGGGACUAUCGGCUCAAGCCGAUGGAAGUUUGAGGCAAUAACAGGUCUGUGAUGCCCUUAGAUGUUCUGGGCCGCACGCGCGCUACACUGACAGAGCCAACGAGUUCAUUUCCUUAGCCGAAAGGUUUGGGUAAUCUUGUUAAACUCUGUCGUGCUGGGGAUAGGGCAUUGCAAUC
rnacentral:rRNA from 1 species